ensembl:lncRNA
UAGCAUCUAGCAUCUAGGGUUAGCAUCUAGCAUCUAGGGUUAGCAUCUAGCAUCUAGGGUUAGCUUCUAGCAUCUAGUGUUAGCAUCUAGCAUCUAGGGUUAGCAUCUAGCAUCUAGGGUUAGCAUCUAGCAUCUAGGGUUAGCAUCUAGCAUCUAGGGUUAGCAUCUACAUCUAGUGUUAGCAUCUAGCAUCUAGGGUUAGCAUCUACAUCUAGCAUCUAGGGUUAGCAUCCAUCUCAUCACCCAGAUACCCAGUACACCAACUACAACUGAUCCAGAUUAGAGCCGAAUAGAACUGAUCCAGAUUAUGGUUUGAUAGAACUGAUCCAGAUUGGAGUCACAUGGAAUAGGUCUGAGUUUACACACACACACACACACACAGACACACACUCCCUCUGCUCCCUCUGUCAGAAACGUGUGUGCUUUUAACAGCCAAUCAGAAACGUGUGUGCUUUUAACAGCCAAUCAGAAACGUGUGUGCUUUUAACUGUCUGUGCUCAGCCUUGACAUGAACACAUGAACAAAGAAGCGGUCACGUGUGUGUGUGUGUGUGUGUGUGUGUGUGUGUGUGUGUUUGUGUGACGAAGAACAACGUUUGGAGUGUUUUCUGUGAGCGACGUGUAAACCACGUGUCGUUACAGCGCACGGCCGUCUGGACCAGCACCUGUGGAGAGAUUCGGUUCUCCUUCUGAAAUCUGUUCAGAAAAAGAAAAUGUAUUAUUGUAUCAUUUUAUCAUUUUUAAUCCAGCAGUGUUAAAUAUGAUUUCUUAUGGUUGUUUGAUUUCCUGUCCAUGCAAGUAAAAUGUGUGUAUUGUGGGCACUGGUAGGUGGGCGAGGAACAGGCCCAUCCCAGCCCGUUCUUGUGUUGUGUGUCUCUCUACCAGAUAGCAGUAUUACUGAAGCCAACUUAACUGACAUUACACACUUGUUUUAGAAGGAACAGUUAAGCUUGUUUUAUAUAUAUGUGUAUGUAAACAUAUUUAUGUGUCUUAUUUUUAUAUUUCCUCAUAGUUAUUUAUUCUACUCCUAGUUUACAGUGUUGUUGCCGUUUUGUAUUACUUCAGUCACUGUGUUAAGAGAGCCGCCGCGGUGGUCCGGCCGGACGGAGUGGUUCUGGAUUGGUUGGAACAGUCCCACACUCCCGACACAGGAUGACGGGGCUGUUCCACCGAGCAGGGUUACUCCAUUACCCACAUACCUGCGCUCAGCAAAACCAGAAACACAGCGCCACGUAUGCUAGGCUACAGAAACAGCGCCUCUCAUGCUAGGCUAGGCUAGAGAAACAGCGCCUCGUAUGCUAGGCUACAGAAACAGCACCUUGUGUGCUAGGCUAGGCUAGAGAAACAGCACCUUGUGUGCUAGGCUAGGCUAGGCUGGAGAAGCAGCACCUUGUGUGCUAGGCUAGAGAAGCAGCACCUUGUAUGCUAGGCUACAGAAACAGCGCCUCGUAUGCUAGGCUAGGCUAGGCUGGAGAAGCAGCACCUUGGAUGUUAGGCUAGGCUAGGCUAGGCUUGUUUAGGUGUUAGCUGGCGCAGAUAUCUGGCUAACUCAUGCGUCAGGCUAGGCUGGAUGUGGGGAGUGUUUCUAGGUGUUAGCCGGCGCAGAUAACUCUGCUCUAGUGCGCAAGCGGGCGAGGAGACAGAUAGACACAUGACUCCGCCCCCUCACAAAGCUGCAGCAGCAGACUGGCCCAGAUCCAGCGGAACCAGAAUGGUUGGGGUUCCUGCUGAGGUCCAGAUCCAGCAGAACCAGAUCGGUUGGGGUUCCUGCUGAGGCCCCGGGUGUGACCCCCCCCCCCCCACACGCUUAACGCAGCGGCGUCCCGUCUGCCUACGUGUUCCUCAAACUCACCCGUCAUAAUGCAUGCAUAGCUCACCUACCCCCCUUGUGAAGCAUUAUAACACAUUAUCACCCAUGUGCAUGAGAAAAGGACCCUACAUGUUUAUUGAGCACUGUGUUUGACAUAGGAAAGUUACUGUGUGGAACCAAGUGGAACCAAGCCAGUUUGCCUGGGGCGCUGAGGAGGAGGAGGAGGAGGAGGAGGAGGAGGACCGCGUCAGUGUUCAUCAUGUCUGCACACGUAGAGUUCAUGCUGUCUUAGUGUUGAGGAUUGCAGGGAUGGAUUUGACUCUUAGUGUAAAGAUUUGACUCUUAGUGUGAAGAUAUGACUGUCAGUGUUGAGGAUUGCAGGGAUGGAUUUGGCUCUAGUGUGAAUAUAUGACUCUUAGUGUAAAGAUAUGACUCUUAGUGUGAAGAUAUGAAUGUCAGUGUUGGGGAUUGCAGGUAUGGAUUUGUCUAAGGUCUAGUGUGAAGGUAUGAUUGUUGUUGCGCUUGUGUGGAACUUGUCUGGAGUUCUCGUGGUUCCCUGUGUCAAGAUCUUGUCCUCCACACACACGUCUCAUUUUCUGUGCCAAAGUAAUAUUUGUGUGUGUGUGUGUGUUUGUCCGAUGCUUCAAAUUGGUUUUAGAUAAAAAAAAAAAAAACCUGUUCAAAUGCAUUGCCAUUCUCAGUUGUUUUGUUAGUUUUUUUUUUUAAAUCCCCAUGGAAACCGAAAUUAAAGGAGAAUGAUGCACA